rnacentral:lncRNA from 1 species
UUAUCCAUGCUUCCGCCUUAAGUGGUUUUGGCUCUCCAAUAAACUCCGGUGGUCCCAGCUCCUUGAACUGUUUAGCGGUGACCGUCCGAGAGUUUCCAGUGUUUCCACCUAUAUUUUGGACAGGAGCCGCUCUCGCCUGCUGUUGCAUGAAUUGCAUAAAGCCUCUGAACAUUCCAUCAUUCAUCAUUUGGUCAGUGUUGUUGUUUGCAUGAGGAUUGUCGCCUUCCUGAUGCACAUUAUCCUGAUUAUUGAUAUGUGGUGUAUCAACGGUCGC